rnacentral:rRNA from 1 species
AUUGAACGCUGGCGGCAGGCCUAACACAUGCAAGUCGAGCGGAGCGGCGGACGGGCGAGUAAUGCCUAGGAAUCUGCCUGGUAGUGGGGGAUAACGUCCGGAAUCGGGCGCUAAUACCGCAUCCUAUCAGAUGAGCCUCGUUUGGAUUAGCUAGUUGGGGGGGUAAAGGCCUACCAAGGCGACGAGCCGUAACGGGUCUGAGAGGCUGAUCAGGCACACGGGAACUGAGACACGGUCGAGACUUCUACGGGAGGCAGCAGUGGGGAAUAGUGGACGAGGGGGGAAAGCCUGAUCCAGCCAUGUCGAGGGUGUGAAGAAGGUCUUCGGAUGGUAAAGCGCUGUAAGUUGGGAGGCGGUACCAUAAGAAUAAGCCCCGGCUAACUUCGUGCCAGCAGCCGCGGUAAUUC